rnacentral:tRNA from 1 species
GCCCGCUUGAUGGAAUUGGUAGACAUACAAGACUUAAAAUCUUGAGCCCUUCCGGGCGUGCCGGUUCGAGUCCGGCAGCGGGCACCA